ensembl:lncRNA novel transcript
AGAGCAGAGAAGGGUGGGAUGGGGGCAGGGGAAAGAAGGACCCUGGCCUGGGUGUCAGGCCUCCUGGUUCAAAUCCCAGACUCAUCACCAGCCUCCUGGGGAACCUGGGGCCAUGUUACCCCUCUCUGAGCACCUCCCUAUCUGGGCCCCUGAAGGGGCUCUGCCCCAGUUUUGAGGGGUAGAGGACCCCUCUUCCAGGCUCAGGGUCAGAGCUGGCUUCUCCAGAGUUGGCAAGUUGGCAAAGUUGGCAAGUGGCUGGGGCUUAACCACCUCUUCCUAUCAGAGGCUCAUGGCUCUGUCCCUGGGCAGGGGCCACUCUCUGCACUCCAGAAGCCUGCCUACUCCCCAGUAUCUUCCCCACUGGUUAUUAUUAUUCAAUGCAGGAAGAAGAGACCACUCACCUGUAAUUUCAACAGCAACAAAAGACCUGAGGUUCCACCAUCAGAACUUCACGCCCUAAGGAAGAUGCAGCAUUUCCUGUAAAAUGCAAGUGCUCCCAGGCAGAGAGCCAGAAUUGAUUUCGUGGCUUUCUUUCUCCUCUUCUGGGAUUUUGUGCCCUAUUGCCACAGAAACCCUGGGCCCCUUCCCCAGCUGUCAUGAAGGUGCCUGAGUGAUGGUCAGAGAGAUGACCGGAGGGGCCCACCCGGCCACCGCAGCAGCAGCAGCCAAGGCGGGACUAAGCCUCCACACCCCACAUCUCAGUCGUGGCCAGCCCGGGAUGCCUGCCUCUCCUGCCCUGUGGUGUUGCUGUCCUCAUAUGACCCUUCAGUCCCCCGACAUCUGGACAGGCUUUAGGGACCUGCUUGAGCAGAACAUGGUAGAAGUGAUGGACUGGGGCUUCUGAGGCUAAGCCAUAAGAAGCCUUGAGAAUUUCACCUGGCCCUCACUGUCUCUGGGAGCCCUGAGCCAUGAUAGAAGAAGUCCUUCCUAUAUUGAAUGUCCUUGAGACCUCCAGUACUGGAAAGGGCAUUUGUAGAUGCUCAGACCAACAGUCCAAACUGAGCCCAGUCUGCCAACUUGCCCUGCCAAGGUGUCAGAUGCAUAUGUGAAUGAGACCAUCCUAGACCUGCUGAUAGCCCAUCACCCGGCUGACUGCUACUGAGUAACCUCUGCCAACUUCACGCCGAACACAGAACUGCUGAUUUGAACUCUGCCUGAAUUUCUUGGCCCACAGAACAAUGAGAUAUAAUUAAAAGGCAAUGGUUCAAGCCA